GACGAACGCUGGCGGCGUGCCUAACACAUGCAAGUCGAACGAGGUCCAUGAGAGCUUGCUCUCGGACGACCUAGUGGCGAACGGGUGAGUAACACGUGAGGAACCUGCCUCGGAGUGGGGAAUAACUCGGGGAAACUCGAGCUAAUACCGCAUACCUUCAGAUGAUCGCAUGGUCGACUGAAGAAAGAAUUUCGCUCUGAGAGGGUCUCGCGGCCUAUCAGCUAGUUGGUGGGGUAACGGCCUACCAAGGCAACGACGGGUAGCUGGAUUGAGAGAUCGAUCAGCCACACUGGGACUGAGACACGGCCCAGACUCCUACGGGAGGCAGCAGUGGGGAAUCUUGCGCAAUGGGCGAAAGCCUGACGCAGCAACGCCGCGUGCGGGAUGACGGCCUUCGUGGUUGUAAACCGCUUUCAGCAGGGACGAGAUUGACGGUACCUGCAGAAGAAGCCCCGGCUAACUACGUGCCAGCCGCCGCAGUAAAAC
rnacentral:rRNA from 1 species